AAAAGAAAAGAGAGAUCUGCUAGGGUUUACAGAUUGGAAAACUAACUCUGCCCUCCCCUUUCUCACCAAACCCUAUCGCUAUGCCCUCCAAUCUCAGUUCGCUGCAAUAGGCCGGACGCAAAAUUCUCUUGCAGCAUCACUCAGUUUCAUCCCUGCGUCCGCCGCCGCUCCCUGCUUCUGCCGCCGCCGCGCAGGACUCUGCCUAAACGCUUGGAGCGGCUAGAUGUGAAUCAGAGAAACUAUACUGAAAGAAAGUUGCACCUUGGUAACAGCUAUAACUUUAGAACUAGUGGUAAUAACUCAUUCCAAAGUGCUUGUUCCAAGUUGCACCCUUACUAACCACUAUUGCUUUCUAUUGGCAUCAAAGUGCUCUUAAACUUGCAGUCUUCUAUCAUAGUUAAUCGGCAAUUGGAAUAAGGCAUUGCAGCUUAAAGUUAUAUAUAUCCAAACACACCAAGGCAUUCUAUCAAACAGUUAAGAUGCAAUUAAGAAACAACUUUAAGAUGAGAAAUUGAGAAUAGAGAAAUGAAAAAGACAAUUCAGUUUAGAAUGUUAUGUUACUGGGAUUACCUGAGAAUUUCAAUAGAUUCCUAUGGCAAAUAUGAGGAUCCAGAGGAGCCUGUGGGUUGGGUCUGCUACUUCACCGUCAACGAAGAGGAACGGAGGCACCAAAGCGCGACAUCAGCGACGGUAACCUGGCGGCUUUGGACAAGGCAACAAUAACCCAGCAACGGCGGAGCUAUCACUCCGGGAACGACGGGAUCUUCGAGCUCAAGGGCAGCGAAGAGGAACGGGUGGAACGAAGCAGAAGGGGGAAUUGCACUGCCUACUUUUUUUGGAACAAAUGUGUUGAGAAAGGAAACUGGUCAUUCAAACUCUGGGUUGCUGUGGGGGAUCAACAAUCAAGCCUUCAAUAUUGCUCCUUUUUAUUACAAAGAGAAGUGGAACAUUUACUAUGAAACUUUUUAGCUUUUGAUUUGAGUUUAUGUUGUAGUUAUUAGCACAUGAAAAAGAAAAACCAAAGUUGUUGAUGUAAUGGGUUUAACUUGCUGAAGUCUGUAAUGUAGAAGACUGCUUAGAACUUAUGUUUGAUUGAUGUAAUUAGAAUUUAGCACAGGAUGUUGCUAUUGUGCCCCGUUUCUGAUUGGCUCGCUGUUGUAUCAUUUUUUUUCCCA